rnacentral:rRNA from 1 species
AUUGAACGCUGGCGGCAGGCCUAACACAUGCAAGUCGAGCGGAGCUGCGGACGGGUGAGUAAUGCCUAGGAAUCUGCCUGGCAGUGGGGGAUAACGUCCGGAAACGGGCGCUAAUACCGCAUACUCUCAGAUGAGCCUAGGUCGUAUUAGCUCGUUGGGGUGGUAAAGGCCUACCAAGGCGACGAUCCGUAACUGGUCUGAGAGGAUGAUCAGUCACACUGGAACUGAGACACGGUCCAGACUCCUACGGGAGGCAGCAGUGGGGAAUAUUGGACAAUGGGCGAAAGCCUGAUCCAGCCAUGCCGAGUGUGUGAAGAAGGUCUUCGGAUUGUAAAGCACUUUAAGUUGGGAGGCGGUACCAACAGAAUAAGCACCGGCUAACUUCGUGCCAGCAGCCGCGGUAAUUC